UGGGGAAUAUUGCACAAUGGGCGAAAGCCUGAUGCAGCAACGCCGCGUGAGCGAAGAAGGUCUUCGGAUCGUAAAGCUCUGUCCUUGGGGAAGAUAAUGACGGUACCCAAGGAGGAAGCCCCGGCUAACUACGUGCCAGCAGCCGCGGUAAUACGUAGGGGGCAAGCGUUAUCCGGAAUUAUUGGGCGUAAAGAGUGCGUAGGUGGUUACCUAAGCAGGGGUGAAAGGCACUGGCUUAACCAAUGUCAGCCCUCCGAACUGGGCUACUUGAGUGCAGGAGAGGAAAGCGGAAUUCCUAGUGUAGCGGUGAAAUGCGUAGAUAUUAGGAGGAACACCAGUGGCGAAGGCGGCUUUCUGGACUGAAACUGACACUGAGGCACGAAAGUGUGGGAGCAAACAGGAUUAGAUACCC
rnacentral:rRNA from 1 species